AGUGAACGCUGGCGGUAGGCCUAACACAUGCAAGUCGAACGGCAGCACAGUAAGAGCUUGCUCUUACGGGUGGCGAGUGGCGGACGGGUGAGGAAUACAUCGGAAUCUACUUUUUCGUGGGGGAUACCGUAGGGAAACUAAUGCUAAUACCGCAUAAGACCUACGGGUGAAAGAAGGGGAUCUUCGGACCUUGCGCGAUUGACUGAGCCGAUGUCGGAUUAGCGAGUUGGCGGGGUAAAGGCCCACCAAGGCGACGAUCCGUAGCUGGUCUGAGAGGAUGAUCAGCCACACUGGGACUGAGACACGGUCCAGACUCCUACGGGAGGCAGCAGUGGGGAAUAUUGGACAAUGGGCGCAAGCCUGAUCCAGCAAUACCGCGUGGGUGAAGAAGGCCUUCGGGUUGUAAAGCCCUUUUGUUGGGAAAGAAAAGCAGCAGGUUAAUACCCCGCUGUUCUGACGGUACCCGAAGAAUAAGCACCGGCUAACUUCGUG
rnacentral:rRNA from 1 species